GUCCGAGUGGCGGAAUGGCAGACGCGCUAGGUUGAGGGCCUAGUGGGGGCGACCCCGUGCGGGUUCAACUCCCGCCUCGGACACCA
rnacentral:tRNA from 1 species